rnacentral:rRNA from 1 species
UACGUAGGGUGCAAGCGUUGUCCGGAAUUAUUGGGCGUAAAGAGCUCGUAGGCGGUCUGUCGCGUCUGCUGUGAAAACUCGGGGCUUAACCCCGGGCCUGCGGUGGGUACGGGCAGACUGGAGUGCGGUAGGGGAGACUGGAAUUCCUGGUGUAGCGGUGAAAUGCGCAGAUAUCAGGAGGAACACCGGUGGCGAAGGCGGGUCUCUGGGCCGUAACUGACGCUGAGGAGCGAAAGCGUGGGGAGCGAACAGG